GAGUACCUACGGGACGCAGCAGUGGGGAAUAUUGCGCAAUGGAGGAAACUCUGACGCAGUGACGCCGCGUAUAGGACGAAGGUCUUCGGAUUGUAAACUAUUGUCGUUAGGGAAGAGAAAGGACGGUACCUAAGGAGGAAGCUCCGGCUAACUACGUGCCAGCAGCCGCGGUAAUACGUAGGGGGCAAGCGUUAUCCGGAUUUACCGGGUGUAAAGGGAGCGUAGACGGCUGUGCAAGCCAGACGUGAAAGCCCGGGGCUCAACCCCGGGACUGCAUUUGGAACUGCGUGGCUUGAGUGUCGGAG
rnacentral:rRNA from 1 species